rnacentral:rRNA from 1 species
AGUGAACGCUGGCGGUAGGCCUAACACAUGCAAGUCGAACGGCAGCACAGUAAGAGCUUGCUCUUACGGGUGGCGAGUGGCGGGCGGGUGAGGAAUACAUCGGAAUCUACUUUUUCGUGGGGGAUAACGUAGGGAAACUUACGCUAAUACCGCAUACGACCUACGGGUGAAAGCAGGGGAUCUUCGGACCUUGCGCGACUGAAUGAGCCGAUGUCGGAUUAGCUAGUUGGCGGGGUAAAGGCCCACCAAGGCGACGAUCCGUAGCUGGUCUGAGAGGAUGAUCAGCCACACUGGAACUGAGACACGGUCCAGACUCCUACGGGAGGCAGCAGUGGGGAAUAUUGGACAAUGGGCGCAAGCCUGAUCCAGCCAUACCGCGUGGGUGAAGAAGGCCUUCGGGUUGUAAAGCCCUUUUGUUGGGAAAGAAAAGCAGCAGGUUAAUACCCCGCUGUUCUGACGGUACCCAAAGAAUAAGCACCGGCUAACUUCGUG